UGCAAGUCGAGCGGUAAGGCCCUUCGGGGUACACGAGCGGCGAACGGGUGAGUAACACGUGGGUGAUCUGCCUCGCACUCUGGGAUAAGCCUGGGAAACUGGGUCUAAUACCGGAUAUGACCUUACAUCGCAUGGUGUUUGGUGGAAAGAUUUAUCGGUGCGAGAUGGGCCCGCGGCCUAUCAGCUUGUUGGUGGGGUAAUGGCCUACCAAGGCGACGACGGGUAGCCGGCCUGAGAGGGCGACCGGCCACACUGGGACUGAGACACGGCCCAGACUCCUACGGGAGGCAGCAGUGGGGAAUAUUGCACAAUGGGCGAAAGCCUGAUGCAGCGACGCCGCGUGAGGGAUGACGGCCUUCGGGUUGUAAACCUCUUUCGACAGGGACGAAGCGCAAGUGACGGUACCUGUAGAAGAAGCACCGGCCAACUACGUGCCAGCAGCCGCGGUAAUACGUAGGGUGCGAGCGUUGUCCGGAAUUACUGGGCGUAAAGAGCUUGUAGGCGGCUUGUCGCGUCGAUCGUGAAAACUUGGGGCUCAACCCCAAGCUUGCGGUCGAUACGGGCAGGCUUGAGUACUUCAAGGGAGACUGGAAUUCCUGGUGUAGCGGUGAAAUGCGCAGAUAUCAGGAGGAACACCGGUGGCGAAGGCGGGUCUCUGGGAAGUAACUGACGCUGAGAAGCGAAAGCGUGGGUAGCGAACAGGAUUAGAUACCCUGGUAGUCCACGCCGUAAACGGUGGGUACUAGUGUGGGUUUCCUUCCACGGGAUCCGUGCCGUAGCUAACGCAUUAAGUACCCCGCCUGGGGAGUACGGCCGCAAGGCUAAAACUCAAAGAAAUUGACGGGGGCCCGCCACAAGCGCGGAGCAUGUGGAUUAAUUCGAUGCACGCGAAGAACCUUACCUGGUUUGACAUUACCACCGGGAAACCUGCAGAGAAUGUAAGCCCCCUUGUGGUCGUGUAACAGUUGUGCAUGCCUGUUCGUCAGCUCCUGUCGUGAGAUGUUGGAUUAAGUCUCCGCCAACGAGCGCGCAAACCUUUAUUCUUAAUGGUGCAGCGCCGUAAUUGGCCGGGACCUCUGAGAAGAACUGCGGGUCACACUCGAGAAGUGGGACGACGUCAGUUCAUACAUGGCCUAUGUCAAGCUUCCACUGCUCAAUGCCGUACAAAGGCUGCGAAUUACCGUUAAGUGAAGCGCAU
rnacentral:rRNA from 1 species